rnacentral:rRNA from 1 species
GACGUAGGAGACGAGCGUUGUCCGGAUUUACUGGGCGUAAAGCGCGCGCAGGCGGCCCCCGCAGGUCGGUUGUGAAAGCCCCCGGCUCAACCGGGCGGAGGCGAGCGAAACCGCGGGGCUGGAGGCUGGCAGAGGGUGGUGGAAUUCCCGGUGUAGUGGUGAAAUGCGUAGAGAUCGGGAGGAACACCCGCGGCGAAAGCACUCUGCUGGGCCGACACUGACACUGAGAGACGAAAGCUAGGGGAGCAAACGGG